rnacentral:rRNA from 1 species
UGGUGGAGUGAUUUGUCUGGUUAAUUCCGAUAACGAAUGAGACCUUAACCUGCUAAAUAGUUUCGCCAACCCCUGUUGGUAGAAACUUCUUAGAGGGACUAACUACGUUCAGUAGUUGGAAGUUUGAGGCAAUAACA